rnacentral:rRNA from 1 species
NNNUCAAANANUAANCCAUGCAUGUNUAAGUNUNAGCAAUUAUACAGNGNAANUGNGAAUGGCUCAUUAUAUAAGUUAUCGUUUAUUUGAUAGUACCUUACUACUUGGAUAACCGUGGUAAUUCUAGAGCUAAUACAUGCUAAAAAUCCCGACUUCAGAAGGGAUGUAUUUAUUAGAUUAAAAACCAAUGCCCUUCGGGGCUCACUGGUGAUUCAUGAUAACUCCUCGAAUCGCAUGGCCUUGCGCCGGCGAUGGUUCAUUCAAAUUUCUUCCCUAUCAACUUUCGAUGUUUGGGUAUUGGCCAAACAUGGUUGCAACGGGUAACGGAGGGUUAGGGCUCGACCCCGGAGAAGGAGCCUGAGAAACGGCUACUACAUCCAAGGAAGGCAGCAGGCGCGCAAAUUACCCAAUCCCGACACGGGGAGGUAGUGACAAUAAAUACUGAUACAGGGCUCUUUUGGGUCUUGUAAUAGGNNAAUGAGUACAAUUUAAAUC